rnacentral:rRNA from 1 species
GAUGAACGCUAGCGACAGGCCUAACACAUGCAAGUCGAGGGGCAGCACAUGAGUAGCAAUACGAUGGUGGCGACCGGCGCACGGGUGAGUAACACGUAUGCAACCUGCCUUCUACUAUGGGAUAACCCGUUGAAAGACGGACUAAUACCGUAUAAUACAGGGGCUCCGCAUGGAGAUAUUUGUUAAAGAUUUAUUGGUAGAAGAUGGGCAUGCGUAUGAUUAGAUAGUUGGUGAGGUAACGGCUCACCAAGUCAACGAUCAUUAGGGGUUCUGAGAGGAAGGUCCCCCACACUGGUACUGAGACACGGACCAGACUCCUACGGGAGGCAGCAGUGAGGAAUAUUGGUCAAUGGACGAGAGUCUGAACCAGCCAAGUCGCGUGAAGGAAGACGGUUCUAUGAAUUGUAAACUUCUUUUGUGCAGGAAUAAAGUGGGUUACGUGUAACCUUUUGUAUGUACUGUACGAAUAAGGAUCGGCUAACUCCGUGCCAGCAGCCGCGGUAAUACGGAGGAUCCGAGCGUUAUCCGGAUUUAUUGGGUUUAAAGGGUGCGUAGGUGGAUUGAUAAGUCAGCGGUGAAAGUUUGCAGCUUAACUGUAAAAUUGCCGUUGAAACUGUCGGUCUUGAGUGCAAAUGAGGUAGGCGGAAUGUGUUGUGUAGCGGUGAAAUGCUUAGAUAUAACACAGAACUCCGAUUGCGAAGGCAGCUUACUGGGAUGCAACUGACACUGAUGCACGAAAGCGUGGGUAUCAAACAGGAUUAGAUACCCUGGUAGUCCACGCAGUAAACGAUGAAUACUAGCUGUAUGCGAUAUACCGUAUGUGGCACAGCGAAAGCGCUAAGUAUUCCACCUGGGGAGUACGUUCGCAAGAAUGAAACUCAAAGGAAUUGACGGGGGCCCGCACAAGCGGAGGAACAUGUGGUUUAAUUCGAUGAUACGCGAGGAACCUUACCCGGGCUUGAAAUGCAGAAGACCGAAGUGGAAACACUUCUUCCAGCAAUGGCUUCUGUGUAGGUGCUGCAUGGUUGUCGUCAGCUCGUGCCGUGAGGUGUCGGCUUAAGUGCCAUAACGAGCGCAACCCUUGCCAAUAGUUACUAUCAGGUUAUGCUGAGGACUCUAUUGGGACUGCCAUCGUAAGAUGCGAGGAAGGUGGGGAUGACGUCAAAUCAGCACGGCCCUUACGUCCGGGGCGACACACGU